ACGAAGUUUUUCGGAACUUAGUGGCGGACGGGUGAGUAACGCGUGAGAAUCUGCCUUAAGGAUUGGGACAACAGUGGGAAACCGCUGCUAAUACCAAAUAUGCCUUUUAGUGAAACGGGUAAAACCGCCUUAAGAUGAGCUCGCGUCUGAUUAGCUAGUAGGUGUGGUAAGAGCGCACCUAGGCGACGAUCAGUAGCUGGUCUGAGAGGACGACCAGCCACACUGGGACUGAGACACGGCCCAGACUCCUACGGGAGGCAGCAGUGAGGAAUUUUCCGCAAUGGGCGAAAGCCUGACGGAGCAAUACCGCGUGAGGGAGGAAGGUUCUUGGAUUGUAAACCUCUUUUCUCAGAGAAGAAUAAUGACGGUAUCUGAGGAAUAAGCAUCGGCUAACUCCGUGCCAGCAGCCGCGGUAAUACGGAGGAUGCAAGCGUUAUCCGGAAUGAUUGGGCGUAAAGGGUCUGUAGGUGGUUGUUCAAGUCUGCUGUUAAAGCGUCUGGCUUAACCAGAUAAAGGCGGUGGAAACUGAACAACUAGAGUGCGGUAGGGGUAGAGGGAAUUCCCAGUGUAGCGGUGAAAUGCGUAGAUCUUGGGAAGAACACCUGUGGCGAAAGCGCUCUACUGGACCGCGACUGACACUGAUGGACGAAAGCUAGGGGAGCGAAUGGGAUUAGAUACCCCAGUAGUCCUAGCCGUAAACGAUGGAUACUAG
rnacentral:rRNA from 1 species